CCCCUAAUAUUUUUUAUGAUGUGGACUGGUCAUUGUUAUUAAUUCGUACGCAAUUUGAUUGGAUUAACUUGUAAUUAGUUUACCUUCAAACUUGUUUAUGCUUUUCAUACAUGACUAUUGAUAAUAAAAACGUGCAUGUAUGUGUACGGUAACUAAAAUGACCUUCAAACUGGACACUGGACGAGUCAAUAUUAUGUUUUAUCAAUGAAAGUUAAGGUAUGAAAGGUAAGAAUUGCCACUUCUUCUAUUUUCACAAAAUUUUCCGACUACACAGUUGAUAGAUUAUUUUUUUAAAGCCUAUUGUGGAGAUAAAAGAGAAAGUUUACAAAUAAGACGUUUUGUUCCAUUAAACAAGUCAUUUUCUUAAGAGAAAUGCCGAAAUACAUUUUACGCACAGCUACGGCAGGUAAAGUUAUUAGUUAUCAUAACAAAAAAAGCAUUAUUCAGUCUCAUUGGAAUAUGUUAAUUACAAUAACUCCCAAACUUAAGUAGUAGGUAUAUGAAGUCAAAAUAUGUCCGAUCUGCCUAUUUUUGGACAUCAAAAGUCAAUACGAUCGUUUUAAAGUCAAUUUCGUCUACCUCACAAAAUCUUGUUAGGCACUAUAAUAGAAAACAAUCGCGUUUAUAUUGAAAUGAAAAGUUACAUUAAGUAUAAAGUAGUUAGUGUAUUUCAUACACAAAACAUUCCCAUGCGAUAAAUUCAAUGAACAAGUCAUUUUCCUUAAAGCAAGUUAUUUUACGUCUAGUACAGUAACUAGAGUAUACAAGUGUGUAAUACGAUGACUAAUACAGGUGACCAUUUAAAAGCUUCAUUUCAUUUAUUUACAUCUUAAUUCACAUUUACAUCCAAAAGUAAGCAGUGAAUAGAGAAAAUGAGAUGCUAUCGACAAUAAAAAAAAAAGACUUGAAACUACACGUCUACAAAAAGAAAAAAAAGUAUUUUUACCCCCUCCCCCCUUUUUAUGGUUAAGGUAGGAAAGGGGAGGCUCAUGUUCACCUAGUUCUGGCACCUUUAUAAUUAUUUAAAACUGUUAUUUUUUAUGGUGUAAACAUUUUUUCUACGAGA
rnacentral:lncRNA from 1 species